rnacentral:rRNA from 1 species
AGUGAACGCUGGCGGUAGGCCUAACACAUGCCAGUCGAACGGCAGCACAGUAAGAGCUUGCUCUUACGGGUGGCGAGUGGCGGACGGGUGAGGAAUACAUCGGAAUCUACUUUUUCGUGGGGGAUAACGUAGGGAAACUUACGCUAAUACCGCAUACGACCUACGGGUGAAAGCAGGGGAUCUUCGGACCUUGCGCGAUUGAAUGAGCCGAUGUCGGAUUAGCUAGUUGGCGGGGUAAAGGCCACCAAGGCGACGAUCCGUAGCUGGUCUGAGAGGAUGAUCAGCCACACUGGAACUGAGACACGGUCCAGACUCCUACGGGAGGCAGCAGUGGGGAAUAUUGGACAAUGGGCGCAAGCCUGAUCCAGCUAUACCGCGUGGGUGAAGAAGGCCUUCGGGUUGUAAAGCCCUUUUGUUGGGAAAGAAAAGCAGCAGGUUAAUACCCCGCUGUUCUGACGGUACCCAAAGAAUAAGCACCGGCUAACUUCGUG